UACAGAGGGGGCAAGCGUUGUUCGGAAUUACUGGGCGUAAAGGGCGCGUAGGCGGCCUGUUAAGUCGGACGUGAAAUCCCCGGGCUCAACCCGGGAACUGCGUCCGAUACUGGAAGGCUUGAAUCCGGGAGAGGGAUGUGGAAUUCCAGGUGUAGCGGUGAAAUGCGUAGAUAUCUGGAGGAACACCGGUGGCGAAGGCGACAUCCUGGACCGGUAUUGACGCUGAGGCGCGAAAGCCAGGGGAGCAAACGGG
rnacentral:rRNA from 1 species